UACGUAGGGUGCGAGCGUUAAUCGGAAUUACUGGGCGUAAAGCGUGCGCAGGCGGUUCGUUGUGUCGGCGGUGAAAGCCCCGGGCUCAACCUGGGAAUGGCCGUUGAAACUGGCGAACUGGAGUGUGGCAGAGGGGGGGGUGGAAUUCCGCGUGUAGCAGUGAAAUGCGUAGAGAUGCGGAGGAACACCGAUGGCGAAGGCAGCCCCCCUGGGCUAACACUGACGCUCAGGCACGAAAGCGUGGGGAGCAAACAGG
rnacentral:rRNA from 1 species